CACUCUUCCUGGCGGCGGCUACCAGGAAUAGCACGACCAACGGGCAGCCGGCUGUGGGGAACGGCGGCUGGCAAGGAGAAGCACACGCGCGGAAGCGGCGGCGGCCUCCAUCUCCAGCUCCUUUUCGUCGCUCACGGCAGCCGACCGAGAUCAGCCUCCUCCACCCCACCCUUCUUCGUUGCUUAAAUGGAGGAGCACGAGCUACCCUGCUGCCAUUGCUACUCUCGCAUCUUCCUCGUCAGUGCCGAAGAGGAACACGAGAAGCCAUCAGAGAAGUCAUCACUGCAAAAAUAGGGAUGGAUUAGGAUGUUAACCCGAGGUGAGCUGAGCCCUGCCCUUCUCCCCUAUUCGCCGUCCCCAUUUUCGAGCUAGCGCUGUUGUUUGGCUCCGCUCAUUAGUUCUAGAUGCAGGGGGGCUGCUGCAGCCAAAGCCUAAGAUGAGACGCCUGAUCUGAUGUUACCUCGGCUCCACCCGAUCUUGACGGAUUUGCAUCUUUCCCAGAUGCUUUUUAAUCUAUGCUAAGGUGCUUGAUGAAAUUCCAAGCAGGCUGACAUGGAAGAUUUAGCUAUGUGAUAUUUGUUCUUUGUUGUGUACCUAUUAAUUUUUUUUCUUCUGAAUUGAGCUCCAUUUAACUAUAAAUUUGUAGUCCAUCUGGCUUUGGUCAGAUCUGGGAAAGAAAAGAGAAAAAGUUCGGUGAAAAAGAAUGUGUUUUUUCCCCGGUGAACAGAAUCAAGUUCGUUCUUGCCUUUUGAUGUUAUAUGGUCUGUGGUAUAGUAAACAUGAGUAUUUACCAUAAAUGUUUCUGUAUAUGUAUGCUGCAAAGUGGAAACUAGACAUUCUAAUAUUCGUUUGGAUAUCUUUUGCAGGAAUUUGAGGCUGCUACAUCAUUCCAUUUGGUUGAGCUUCCUAAAAUCAAAGGGACAUGUUGGACUUUCAAGAUAUAAUAUCUCAGGUCAAGUGAAAAAAUAAACUUCUCGAUUUCCUGAUUUAACAUGAUCAUCGAGUUGUCCAGCAUAGAGGUGGCCAGCUUUAUGCUAGAAUGCUGAUGUAAGUUUGAUUCAUGAGAAAAAACUCCCAGAAGCGGCGUUCUUGGUGGCUUGGAGGCGCAGGGAUUAUAGGUUUCAAAAAUUAGAAGCGGUAAUGGAGCUUCUCCCUGUCCUAUGUGAAUGCAUGUACAGUUGUACACUAAUUGCAAGCUUUUUGUGAUAUAACGUGUCAUAAUUAUCCUUCAACACAUGGGAUUGAAAUUGCAAUUGUUCAUUUAGU